GUCGCUCGCUCCUUGACGGCUGACCGACACUGGGUCUGAGGUGUAAGCGCUUUCCAGGCCCUUCCCUGGGGCUUGGAGGGGAAUGGCGCAAAGGACUUUUCUUACAAGCAGAGCCACUGCAGUUACCAAAGAGUAUGUCGCUUAUUGUCUAAGAGGUUGGACUCCUGAAAGCCUGGACAGUGUCAUCAUCUUCACCUGAAGAGUGGAAAAAUUCAAGCAAAGAGUUUCUCAGGAAAUGACCAAGUAAAACAUCUGGAGUAAGUCAGCAGGAUUCACAGUGACUCCCCCCAACCAGCUGGUGGUGUUUCUCUCUGAAAGCAGCGCUUGGUACCAGUGUGAACUCUCUUCCUUCAGAAGUCUCAUCAGGUGGACGUAAUACGAGGGUCUGGUCCCCCAUACCUUGAGGACUCCGCUGCCAUCUGACAAUUACAGACAAUCCAAUUGUCCUCAUCCUUGAGGACUCUGCUGCCAUCUGACAAUUAGAGACAGUCCAAAACAUGCCACACUUUGAUCCUAAACACAUUCCUGGCUUUGGUCACUUUUGAAAAGUUCCUGAGUUAUGAGAAAUCAAUAAUAAGAGUGUUCAAAACCUGAACACUCUUUUUAGAAAUACCUGCUGGAACUACAUAUAUGAUUUAUGGGGUACUGUCUUGUAGUAUCUGGGAAAGUAGACCCAUCUAACCUGGAAUGAUCAUAGGCAACAAUGACCAAAAAUGGGGAUCUUUUGAUAUACCUAAAGUAAUUUAUUUGUGCACACCAUUGGAAAGAGCUGGUUUUAGAACCAGACAUGUAAAUAAGAGACUGACUUCCACUGGCACCUAAAAACUUCUAAAAGAAAUCCUGAAAGAAAAAGUCACCUUCAUUCAAGAGGUAAACAAAGGGAUAUUUGAAACUAUGUUAAAAGACUUCAGAGGCUUUCUCCCUUUCACCUCCAGACCCUCCUUUUCCUUCCAGCCCUGUGAUCUGAACUCAUCCCUUUCUGCCGCUUCUCUUGGCUUCCAUACAUCUCUUAGGCAGAGAUGUUUUAAAAUUUCACAAUGUACACAUUUCCUUCUCUCAGGGGAAAUGAAUUUAAAUUUAGAGCAGAAGGAACAAGCAGAACAACAACAGAAUGGGAAUAAGACUGCUGAGACUAUAAAAAUGCAGAUCCAACAAAAUUUUUUCUCACCAGGUCUAGUGAAUGACACUGUGAUAUGGUCUGGCUCUGUGUUCCCAACAAAAUGUCAUCUCGAAUUGUAAUCCCCACGUGUCGGGGGAGAAGCCUGGUGGGAGAUGAUUGGAUCAUGGAGGCAGUUUCCCCCAUGCUGUUUUCAUGAUAGGGAGGGAGUUCUUACGAGAUGUGAUGGUUUAAAAGUGUUUGGCAGUGGCCGGGCGCGGUGGCUCACGCCUGUAAUCCCAGCACUUUGGGAGGCCGAGGCGGGUGGAUCAUGAG
rnacentral:lncRNA from 10 species